UACGUAGGGGGCAAGCGUUGUCCGGAAUCAUUGGGCGUAAAGCGCGUGUAGGCGGCUCGGUAAGUCCGCUCUGAAAGCCCGGGGCUCAACCCCGGGAGGCGGGUGGAUACUGCUGAGCUCGAGUCCGGAAGAGGAGUGUGGAAUUCCUGGUGUAGCGGUGAAAUGCGCAGAUAUCAGGAGGAACACCGGUGGCGAAGGCGGGACUCUGGGCCGAUACUGACGCUGAGGAGCGAAAGCGUGGGGAGCAAACAGG
rnacentral:rRNA from 1 species